AUGAGUGUGAUCUGCGUCCUCAUCUGGACUCUCCUCUGCUGCUGCUUCACAGAGUCCAGAGGACAGGUCACAGUGACUCAGCCUGGAGCAGUGAGCUCCAAUGUCGGAGGAUCUGUCUCCAUCUCAUGCAGAACCAGUCAGAAUGUUUAUAGCAACAACCGUUUAGCCUGGUAUCAACAGAAAGAUGGAGAAAAGCCUAAACUACUAAUUUACUAUGCUACCACUCGAGAAUCAGGGACUCCAACUCGUUUUACAGGCAGUGGAUCAAACUCUGAUUUCACUCUGACCAUCAGUGGAGUUCAGGCUGAAGAUGCAGCAGUUUAUUACUGUCAGAGUGUUCACUACAUCAACAGUCAAUAUGUGUUCACACAGUGAAAAACAGUCGUACAAAAACCUCCCUCAUUCAGGCUGAACAGAAACUGAACUGACUGCUGCAGCUGGAAGAUGCUGCAGACACUGAUACAGUUCACUGAACAUCCAUUCUAACAAACACAGGAAUUCCAUCAAGCUUACAUUAAAAAAUAAAUAAAUAAAAAA